UACGUAGGGUGCAAGCGUUAAUCGGAAUACUGGGCGUAAAGCGUGCGCAGGCGGUGAUGUAAGACAGAUGUGAAAUCCCCGGGCUCAACCUGGAACUGCAUUUGUGACUGCAUCGCUGGAGUGCGGCAGAGGGGGAUGGAAUUCCGCGUGUAGCAGUGAAAUGCGUAGAUAUGCGGAGGAACACCGAUGGCGAAGGCAAUCCCCUGGGCCUGCACUGACGCUCAUGCACGAAAGCGUGGGGAGCA
rnacentral:rRNA from 1 species